GCUUCCUUAGCUCAGUUGGGAGAGCAGCUCACUUGUAAUGAGCAGGUCGUCCGUUCGAAUCGGACAGGGAGCA
rnacentral:tRNA from 1 species